UCUGCACAGACUUGUGUCCCAAAGAUAAGACCACUGAUUGUUCCAGCAACGUGCCCAGUUAUACAUUCUGACCAAUUCUUUCCUGGAUCACACUACUUCCACCCUGAGACUCUAUGACUAAGACUAGCCUCUAAAACCAUGAAAGUUCCCUCCCUAAUCUCCUGCUUCCUGUUAAAGGUGGUGGUGCUCUUUUUUGCUCGCCUGUAUGAGAAUGCCCAUGGACCCUGAACUCACCUCCUCCCAUGGACACAACAAAUUUACAACUACUCUUGGAACAAUUACCUCUGAGAGAGAACUGAAAACUGGAUGAAAAGAACGCCUACAACGAGGGACAGUGCUGACUGAGGUGGAAGAGGAAGAAAUUCCUUUCUGGAGAGGAAAGAGCCACCCUUGAGCUGUGGUGCUUCACAGCCAGCAGGGAGCAAUCUUAAGAUGGGGAAACAGAGCCAGAGAGCAUGCCGGGAAGUGGGUAGCGUAUGGCAGUGUUAGAGCCCACGUCUUCUGAAGUCCACUCUUCUUCCCAGCACACCGUGAAACUUUGGCACAUUUCCCUUUGAAGUUCCACUGCAUUUAUUCCAGAUCAGGAAUGUGCCUCAGAAAGACGUCUCUGGCUUCCUGGGUCAGACUUCCUGCCUGCAGAGGCAGAAGAUGGUCUUCCCAGGGCUGCCUGUCCUUCCGUGGAAGGCCAUUUCAGCGCCAGUGCUAGUCUAGUCUGAGACCAUGUGGAGGGCAG
rnacentral:lncRNA from 1 species